rnacentral:rRNA from 1 species
CUAACCUGCCCACUGAUUUAUUAAAGGGCCGCGGUAUAUUGACUGUGCAAAGGUAGCAUAAUCAUUUGUCUUUUAAUUGAAGGCUAGAAUGAAUGGUUGAAUGAAGUAUUGACUGUCUCAUUAUAAAAAAUAUAAAAAUUUAAUUUUUUAGUCAAAAAGCUAAAAUUUAAUUAGAGGACGAGAAGACCCUAUAGAUCUUUAUAUAAAUUUUUAUAAAAAUUUGGUUGAAUAUAAUUUAUUUAAAUAAAAAUUUAUAUUUUGUUGGGGUGACAGGAAAAUUUAAUAAACUAUUUUUAAAAAUAAAACAAAAAUAAUUGAUUUAUUGAUCCAAUAUUAUUGAUUAAAAGUUUAAGUUACCUUAGGGAUAACAGCGUAAUUUUUUUGGCGAGUUCAUAUUAAUAAAAAAGAUUGCGACCUCGAUGUUGAAUUAAAGA